rnacentral:rRNA from 1 species
GACAGAGGAGCCAAGCGUUGUCCGGAUUGACUGGGCGUAAAGCGCACGCAGGCGGUCGUGCACGUGGGUGUGAAACUGGCGGCUUAACUGCCAGAGGCCACCUCAUAUGGCGCGACUCGAGCCCUGCAGAGGUCCAUGGAAUUGCCGGUGUAGUGGUGAAAUGCGUAGAGAUCGGCAGGAACACCCAGGGGAAACCAGUGGACUGGGCAGGAGCUGACGCUCAGGUGCGAAAGCGUGGGGAGCGAACCGG